rnacentral:lncRNA from 1 species
ACCUCAAAAACAUAUAAUCAGAUCAAUCAAUUUAAUCGAACUUAGCAUACAAUCUUAAACCUCAAGACAUUAGAUUUUAUCAUGGAUCUAUCAACCUAGCAUACGGAUUCUCAAUUCUCAAAGACAUCCAAAUCAGAUCAAUAUAACCUAUCAUACGGAUUAUUUAGGGUUUCUAUUUAAAACAGAUCAGAUUACAAAACUUUCAAUCCUAGCAAAUGAUAUUAAACCUCAAGAAUCAUGCAAUCAG